UCAGGAUGAACNCUGGCGGCGUGCUUAACACAUGCAAGUCGAACGGAGAUAUCAUUUUCGAAGCGAUUAGUUUACUAAGAGUGGAGAUGUUGGUAUCUUAGUGGCGGACGGGUGAGUAACGCGUGGGUAACCUGCCUUACACUGGGGGAUAACACUUAGAAAUAGGUGCUAAUACCGCAUAACAGGGAAAGAUGCAUGUCUUUUCCUUAAAAACUCCGGUGGUGUAAGAUGGACCCACGUCUGAUUAGCUUGUUGGCGGGGUAACGGCCCACCAAGGCGACGAUCAGUAGCCGGCCUGAGAGGGUGAACGGCCACAUUGGACUGAGACACGGCCCAAACUCCUACGGGAGGCAGCAGUGGGGAAUAUUGCACAAUGGGGGGAACCCUGAUGCAGUGACGCCGCGUGGGUGAAGAAGUCAUUCGUGACGUAAAGCCCUAUCAGCAGGGAAGAAAAUGACGGUACCUGACUAAGAAGCCCCGGCUAACUACGUGCCAGCAGCCGCGGUAAUACGUAGGGGGCAAGCGUUAUCCGGAUUUACUGGGUGUAAGGGGAGCGUAGACGGCGGCGCAAGUCCGGAGUGAAAGCCCACGGC
rnacentral:rRNA from 1 species